ensembl:lncRNA
GGCGCAGCCAUAGAGCAACGACGAUCUACAAGCCCCCCAAGUCAGCGGACAGCGGUUGAUGAUCUCGGGACUGACAGGCCUGUCCAAACUGUGUUAGAGUAUCCUGUAACUCUUUACAAUGGGACCCAUGGUUAUCAUCUCACUCAGGACCCUGCUGGAAGAGCUACUCUGCACUGUGGACAGGGCUGGAAGGCCUAGUCUGCACUGUGGACAGGGCUGGAAGGGUUACUCUACACUGUGGACAGGGCUGGAAGGGUUGCUCUACACUCAGGACACUGCUGGAAGCAGACUCCAGCUUCUCCGGACUCCUCCUUCUCCACCGUAACCAGAACAGAGCCCAUUCAAGAGAGCCUUGGCACUCUCUAUCGAGCCCCAAUGUAUCGAACUUGGUUGCAGUUCCAUUAGAAUUCCACUGGGGGUGAUCGCGGGUUGGGCCAUUGUUGGCCUUACGAUUGCCCACGAUUGGUCAGUGACCGACUUGCGACUGAUUACGACCAGAGACCCCGCUUGUUGGCUUCUGAAGCUAAAGCAGAUUCAGAAAAAUUAUCGUAAGGAGGACUUUCCGUCAAAACCACUAACACAGUGCUGUUCCUCCACCGCCUUCCUGGUUCCUACACCGACCCGGCUGGCCUCCUGCAUCAACCAGCCUAAUUUCCAUUGAAUAAACAUUUAAACUGCUUCAACCCUCGUCUGUGUCGUGCGUUUGGGAUCCUCCAAACUCAUGCCGUAACAGUUACUGUGAAUUAAAAGUCAUGUCUGG